ensembl:lncRNA
GGUGAAGUCAACUGAGAAAGUGCACCGUAGGCUGUCAGUUCUGUGAGUUCUCAGGCCCAGUCUUCAAAUUCUACCGCCCGCUUGUCGUGCUUUGAGGCAGAAACGUGCAUCUUGUUGCCGGAACGAAGAACGGAAAUAGAUGCCAGUGUUUCUGCUCAGUGUUGUUUUUCUAACUGACCACUGGAACUUUUCUGACUACGUGUGCGGUAAUCUGCAGGAGGAAUCACCUACUGAGAAAAGGCAUCUGGAUGCUCCACGUAAUUGUUUUGGUCCAAACCAGUAAUUUCCACACUAGUGACAAAAGCGGUGCAGAUAAACACGUUGUUCAUGGAACAAUUGCCAGGAUACACUCUGCUUCCCUGGCCCAAUUACGACUCCUGGCUUCACAAUCCAUGUUGAUAAGCACACUCGUAAUGGUUUGCUGUGUGCCAUGUGCUGUUAACUGCUCCAGCUUCUGGCUAAACAAUAUGUAACAACAAGGUACAAUAAGUGAACAUUCCUGAACGGUAGGUCUUUGCUUACAUGUUGUGAUCAUGUGCCCAGGUACCAGACAACCAAAACAUAGUCCUCUACCUUUGAGCAUGUCAAUUGCAAAACAGACUGAGGGAUUAUCAGCAGGGCCUUGUUGCUUUUACAAUGGGUAGAACAUUGUUGGCAUAUCUACAAAUGUAUUCCCAGGGCGUUGCGUAAGGAUUUGGGCUUGGCGAUCAAUAGGUAGAGCAGGACUGGCAAAUUUAAGAUAAUUUUCCAUUCCUUUCCUGAAGACCAAAGACAAAACCUCUCAGUUUGUUUCUUUAGCUUGAAUGAAAGUUUUGAAAUGAUGGUUUUCAUGCUGCUUGGGCAGUCCAUUUACUCUGUAAAUUCCCCAUUAUGAAUUGUGUUAGGACUCUCAGAGUCUGCAUAUUUUUGAAGAGCCCCGGGACUUCAGUCUUUAUCAAUGGCCAGUUGUGUGUUCUGUCAAUGUUAGCAGUUGCGAUUUCAUAUUUCCAUAGUGCCUUUUGGAAUAUAUGAAUCCUCAAUCUGGAUUCAUAAAUUCACACCUAGGCACCAAUUCUUUAGGUUGUCCUGUUCUAAAAGGAAAACAAACUUCCUUUGCUGAAAAGCUCAAAGCUAUCUUUUCAGCUUCCAGCUUGAGUUUAACAAAGGAUGUGGUGUAUUUUCCUACGUUUCCUCAGAACUGUGAUCUCUUUCCGUGUUUUGAAGGUACAUUUGAUACACUAUGCUCUGAUGUGAUUUAGUUGUCCGGGCUAUUAGCAACUUUACUACAAGAACAUUGUUCAAUACAUUUUUUUCCCACUGAUUCCAUAAAUUCCUUUUUAUCCUCGGAUUUUGCCUCAGUCUUCAGUUUGUUCUCUUUCUGCUGCAUCAGCAGAUUUAGGAAAUUGUGCUCAAAUUGUGCUCACUGUACAAUCUUUUCAUAUCAACAUUCAUGAUUAUGUUAACCUGUCCAACAUGUUUUAUCUUCCAUAAGUUGUACAAUUUUAUUUUGCUUUUCAGAUUCCAGCUCCUCCUUGAUUACAAUGGUUUAUUUCAUUGAUAUUAUACUGAAUUACUAAAGUCCCCAAAUGUUGUAAUAUGUUUCCAUCCAUUAAACAUGAACACAACGGAAUAGAGAUGAGAUUUCUGAAUGUCAAAUAAACACACCAAUCGCAGAUGCUUUUAGCCUUAACAUGUUGAAUCCAAAUGAUGAUAAACAAUCCAUUACAGUAAGGAACUCCGACUACCUCACUGGAUCAGUCGUGCAUCUGCAUUCAUGCGGUGAGGUUUUUGACAAGAGUGAGGUCCAUUUUUAAAGUUCAUCCUAGUUUAAGGAUGGUUUACUAUUGCAAUAGUAGACAUAUUCCUAAUUUCACAAUACAAUUUGGAUUAUAUUUAAUAAAAAUAAUACAUAAAUGAUUUUUAACAAAAGUACUUAGUUAGUGUUUCAAUUUAAAAAUGUAGUGCUGUUCUUGUAGUGGUGCAUCUCCAUGAUUGGUCAAACACUGUUUACUGCUGCCAAGUCAAACCACAGUGCUUAUUAGGUAUUCUAACUGGACACCCAGUAGAUCACCUUUAAGCAGUAAAUGAGCUGUGGCCAACACCACAUUAUCAAAACACACUUAUGACAGCAACAACUAGCAUGAUUGGAGUAAGAAUGAUUGGAAUUUUAGCAUUUUGGUGAGG